rnacentral:rRNA from 1 species
UGGGGAAUAUUGCACAAUGGGGGAAACCCUGAUGCAGCGACGCCGCGUGAACGAAGAAGGUAUUCGUAUCGUAAAGUUCUGUCCUAUGGGAAGAUAAUGACAGUACCAUAGAAGAAAGCUCCGGCUAAAUACGUGCCAGCAGCCGCGGUAAUACGUAUGGAGCGAGCGUUGUCCGGAAUUAUUGGUCGUAAAGGGUACGCAGGCGGUUUAAUAAGUCGAAUGUUAAAGAUCGGGGCUCAACCCCGCAAAGCAUUGGAAACUGAUAAACUUGAGUAGUGGAGAGGAAAGCGGAAUUCUUAGUGUAGUGGUGGAAUACGUAGAUAUUAGGAGGAAUACCAGUAGCUAAGGCGGCUUUCUGGACACAAACAGACGCUGAGGUACGAAAGAGUGGGGAGCAAACCGG